GGAGCCGUAACACAGGUGCUGCAUGGCUGUCGUCAGCUCGUGUCGUGAGAUGUUGGGUUAAGUCCCGCAACGAGCGCAACCCUUGUCAUUAGUUGCCAUCAUUAAGUUGGGCACUCUAAUGAGACUGCCCGUGACAAACCGGAGGAAAGUGGGGAUGACAUCAAAUCCUCAUGGCCCUUAUGACCAGGGCUUCACACGUCAUACAAUGGUCGGUACAAAGGGUAACCAAACCCCGAGGUGGAGCCAAUCUCACAAAACCGAUCGUAGUCCGGAUUGCACUCUGCAACUCGAGUGCAUGAAGUCGGAAUCGCUAGUAAUCGCAGGUCAGCAUACUGCGGUGAAUACGUUCCCGGGU
rnacentral:rRNA from 1 species